UACAGAGGUCCCAAGCGUUGUUCGGAUUCACUGGGCGUAAAGGGUGCGCAGGUGGUCGGGUAAGUCUGACGUGAAAUCCCGCAGCUUAACUGCGGAAUGGCAUUGGAUACUAUUCGGCUAGAGGGUUGGAGGGGGGACUGGAAUUCACGGUGUAGCAGUGAAAUGCGUAGAUAUCGUGAGGAAGACCAGUGGCGAAGGCGGGUCUCUGGACAGUUCCUGACGCUGAGGCGCGAAGGCCAGGGGAGCAAACGGG
rnacentral:rRNA from 1 species